AAGGGCACCACAAGAACGCGUGGAGCAUGUGGCUUAAUUUGACUCAACGCGGGAAAUCUUACCGGGUCCGGACACACUGAGGAUUGACAGGCAAUAUUAUAAUUUUUUAAUUGAAAUAAAUUUUUAUUAAUUUAUUUUUUUUAUUUUUUAUAUGUUAAAUAUGCUAGUCCUUUCAUGAUUAUGUGAUAGGUGGUGCAUGGCCGUUCUUAGUUCGUGGAGUGAUCUGUCUGCUUAAUUGCGUUUCACUAUUGGGCUUAUAUAAUUACGUAUGUUGUUAACGCUUUGACCCCUUUCUACGGAUUGUGCGUGUCUUUGUCUCGUUUAACUCAUACAAUUAAGCCCUGAAAGCAACGAACGUGACCGCAACCUCUUGUUGCUCUCAUAUUACCUUAUACUGCAUAAUAUUUGAAUAAUUUAUUUUAUUUUUUUUUUAUGUUUAAGAGAGCUUUCUAAACUAGAGGGACCGCUGUUACUUUCUUAAACCAGAGGAAGGUUGCGGCAAUAACAGGUCUGUGAUGCCCUUAGAUGUUCCGGGCUGCACACGUGCUACAAUGAUUAUUGCAGUGAGCAUCUCAUUUUUUACACAUCGCAUGCGCGAGUCCAUUUAUUCAGAUAUCUUUCAUUUACUUUCGGGUGAAUGUAGUGUUUGCUUUAAAUGUGUAUCUCUGCGCGCGAUAAAGCCUGCUUCGAAAGUAAGUGGGUAAUCAAUUAGAAGUAAUGAUUUCCUUUUUUUUUCUGCACACAUAUAUAUGGCACUUAUACCCGGGUAACCUUGUUGUUACUUUUGUGCGUAUACGUGAUAAUCUUUACCGAUUAUACUACCAUAUGUGCAAUUGUCAAUUCAUGGUGGGGACAGACCAUUGUUAAUUGUUGGUCUCGGUCUUAACUAGGAAUGCCUUGUACGGAUCUUUGGUUCAACAAACCAUCCGGAAUACGUCCCUGCCCUUUGUACACACCGCCCGUC
rnacentral:rRNA from 1 species